rnacentral:tRNA from 1 species
CCGACCUUAGCUCAGUUGGUAGAGCGGAGGACUGUAGUGGUUGCAGGUUAAUCCUUAGGUCGCUUGUUCGAAUCCGGCAGGUUGGA